rnacentral:tRNA from 1 species
GUCAAUAUAGUUUUAAACCAAACAUUAGAUUGUGAAUCUAAGAAUAGAAGUUAAAACCUUCUUAUAGACCG